rnacentral:lncRNA from 13 species
AUGUGUGUGUGCAGGCUGGCAGACAGUGAGGGACUUUGGGCCAGCUGGCUGGCCUGGUGUGUCAGACCCUGUGGAACCUCACUGAGAAGGGGGGGGGGGGGGACAGACUCCCCAGCCACACUGGACAACCAGGAGAGAGAGGCACUGCUUGAGGUCCAUACACUGUACCUGGACGAGGAGGAAGCGCUGCAGUGGACCUCUGGUGAUUACGAGGGACUUCCACCGAGCAUUCUGGGAGUCAGAGUUCCGUCCUGUGGCUCAGAGGCUGAGGGACAGGAUCCAGACUCAAACUGUCUGCCAUCUACACAGUCUCCCUCCCUAAAGUGUGAUGUCCUUGCCUUUCUUCUUGCUGUGCCCUGCAUCCAGUGUGUCUGUACUCAACACACUUUACCUUCUGGUUCUACCACGCUCUCUAAUUCCAUUAGUAAGGUCCUGACCAGUCACAACUCUGGGACUUAG